rnacentral:rRNA from 1 species
AGUGAACGCUGGCGGCAGGCCUAAUACAUGCAAGUCGAACGGCAGCACAGCAGAGCUUGCUCUGUGGGUGGCGAGUGGCGGACGGGUGAGGAAUACAUGGGAAUCUGCCCAGUCGUGGGGGAUAACGUAUGGAAACGUACGCUAAUACCGCAUGCGCCCUUUGGGGGAAAGCCGGGGACCUUCGGGCCUGGCGCGAUUGGAUGAGCCCAUGUUCGAUUAGCUAGUUGGCGGGGUAAAGGCCCACCAAGGCGACGAUCGAUAGCUGGUCUGAGAGGAUGAUCAGCCACACUGGGACUGAGACACGGCCCAGACUCCUACGGGAGGCAGCAGUAGGGAAUAUUGGACAAUGGGCGCAAGCCUGAUCCAGCCAUGCCGCGUGAGUGAAGAAGGCCCUUGGGUUGUAAAGCUCUUUUGUCCGGAAAGAAAAGCAUUCGGUUAAUACCCGGGUGUUCUGACGGUACCGGAAGAAUAAGCACCGGCUAACUUCGUG